UCAGGCCUAACACAUGCAAGUCGAACUAGCUCUAGCGCAAGUUAGAGUGGGUGGCGGACGGGUGAGGAACACGUAAGAACCUACCCCUAGGAGGAGGAUAACUGCUGGAAACGGCAGCUAAUACUCCAUAUGCUGAGGAGUGAAACGGGGAAACCCGGCCUAGGGACGGGCUUGCGUCUGAUUAGCUAGUUGGUGAGGUAAAUGCUUACCAAGGCGUCGAUCAGUAGCUGGUCUGAGAGGAUGAUCAGCCACACUGGGACUGAGACACGGCCCAGACUCCUACGGGAGGCAGCAGUGAGGAAUUUUCCGAAGUGGGCGAAAGCCUGACGGAGCAAUACCGCGUGAAGGAAGAGAGGCCUGUGGGUUGUAAACUUCUUUCUCAGAGACGAAAAAUGAC
rnacentral:rRNA from 1 species